GACGAACGCUGGCGGCGUGCUUAACACAUGCAAGUCGAGCGGUAAGGCCCUUUCGGGGGUACACGAGCGGCGAACGGGUGAGUAACACGUGGGUGACCUGCCCUCAGCUCUGGGAUAAGCCUGGGAAACCGGGUCUAAUACCGGAUAUGACUCCAUGACGCAUGUUGUGGGGUGAAAGCCUUGUGCGGCUGAGGAGUGGGCCCGCGGCCUAUCAGCUUGUUGGUGGGGUGAUGGCCUACCAAGGCGACGACGGGUAGCCGGCCUGAGAGGGCGACCGGCCACACUGGGACUGAGACACGGCCCAGACUCCUACGGGAGGCAGCAGUGGGGAAUCUUGCGCAAUGGGCGAAAGCCUGACGCAGCGACGCCGCGUGAGGGAU
rnacentral:rRNA from 1 species